UACGGAGGGGGCUAGCGUUGUUCGGAAUUACUGGGCGUAAAGCGCGCGUAGGCGGCCAUCUAAGUUCGGGGUGAAAGGUUCAACGCUCAACGUGAACAGUGCCCUGAAUACUGGCUGGCUUGAGUUCGGGAGGGGGCAGUGGAAUUCCGGGUGUAGCGGUGAAAUGCGUAGAUAUCAGGAGGAACACCGGUGGCGAAGGCGGCAUCCUGGACCGGCAUUGACGCUGAGGCGCGAAAGCCAGGGGAGCAAACGGG
rnacentral:rRNA from 1 species